CGUUUGACUCUUGACACGCGAGACGAGCAGCUGAUCUAGCUGAUCGGAGAAGAUUCGGUAGAAUGAAAAAUGAUAUUAUGCGCGGAAAGUGACAGACGCAUCCCUGGCAACAAAUAAAAAGGGUGGAAAUUCAGAUUACUUUAAAAAUAAGGAAAACAAAGUAGUGUGCGCAUUUAAUUACCGAUACAGGAAACAACAUGGUAGAAGUGGCAGCAAAUUUGAAAUCGAUCUAUGAUAAAAUACUACAAGCUGCUGCAAAAAGAGUAUCGGAACAUCGAUAUUACGAGCCACGACUGGUAGCUGUAAGCAAAUUGCAAUCCCCGGAAUUGAUAUUAUCCGCAUAUCAAGCUGGUCAAAGGCACUUUGGCGAGAACUAUGUGAAUGAAUUACUGGAUAAGGCCUGCAAUCCACAGAUUCUUGAAACGUGCAAGGAGAUUCGCUGGCACUUCAUAGGCAACCUACAGAGGAACAAGGUCAACAAGGUUCUAAAUGUGCCAAAUUUAUUCGUGAUAGAAACGGUGAGCAAUGACAAACUUGCAAGUGCGCUUAACAAUUCGUGGCCAAAGUUUCGGAAGAACGAGGACAGCAAGUUGAAUAUCAUGGUACAAGUCAACACGAGUCAAGAGGAAGAGAAGAAUGGCUGUGACAUUGUAGAGGUGUCGACUCUCGUCAAGUAUAUUCUAGAUAACUGUCCACAUUUGAAAUUUCUGGGCCUCAUGACAAUAGGAAUGUUUGGAUAUAAUGUCGCAGAUGGACCGAAUCCUGAUUUCCUUCGUUUGAUAAGUUGUAGAGAGAAAAUAUGCAAAGAAUUGAACAUGGACAUUAAAAAUAUCGAAUUGUCAAUGGGAAUGUCUAAUGAUUAUGAGCAUGCAAUUGAGCUUGGCAGUACAAAUGUAAGAGUGGGGAGCGCCAUUUUUGGCAGUAGACCGCAAAAAACUACUUGAAGAAAUAUAAUUUCUUGGUACUCUGUUGCCUUCUGGUCGUCGUCCAUGGUGGCUGGAUUGCUCCUGCGCCUCUUGUGAAAAAAAUUGCAAUUGCACCUGCUCCUGUUGCAGUGAAAAUUGCUCCUCUUGAAAUAAAAAGUGUUCCCCUCAUUAAAGCGCCGUUGACGUGGACCGUUGCCGAGCCCAAAGCUGUCGGAUGGAACGGAGGAUGGGGUGAUGACAAUCUUGGAUGGAAUGGGGGAUGGAAUGGCGGACUUAAGCUUUAGGUUGAAUCUUACGCUGAAUGAGGUGUAAAACAUGCCGUCACCAGCAAUCUCCCGUCUCACACACAGAACACACCCUUUUUACUUUUGUACAUAAUUCACUGACACGUCUCGUACGUAGUUUCCUAAAUGUCAAAUUCAUGAAAUCCUGUCAAAACAUUCCCUCGCGCAAAUAUUUCCCUCCAAAUUCUAGAAAUUAUUCGAUACGAAUCAAUAAAAUCCCGUAAAUAAAAAA